rnacentral:ncRNA from 1 species
GGAACAGUGUAAACUGACUGUUUAAUUAAAACAAAGCAUUGUGAAGGCCUACUGCAGGUGUUGAUGCAAUUUUGUUUUACCCAAUGCCAAACAGGAAAGUGAAGACAUUCAAACAGCAGGAAUAAGUAUGACUCUCUCAAUGUAGUCAACAGCCUUGCCAUCUAAUUAGCGAUGCACAUUUUUAGAAACAAAUGACUUUACA